UUGAUUUGCGUUUGUUUGCUGAAGGCACUGUUUGGAUUUGGAUUUGGAUUUACACAACAACCAUUGAAUUUUUACUAAUUUGAUAUAUUCGAUUAUUGUUUCAUUGAUUGAGGUUUGAUAAAUAGUUUCUCUAUGUUAGUUUCAAAUUAUUCAUGAUCCACAUGCGUCGAGUUCGCAUUAUGCACUCUUUCUCCGUUGUCUUCCUGUACUGGUUCUAUGUGUUUUCAUGAAUUAGCCCACCUCAAACCCUUGAACCCUCCUCCUGUUUGAUUUAGAAAUUAGAAGUACCAAAUUCAGAAACCGAACGAGAAAAAAGUAGUUACCUCUCCUUUUUUGAAUCCCUAUUUUUAUCGAACAAACUUCCCCAUUGAAUAAACAACACAAAGACAUGGCUUCGACUCAGCAACCAGCUAGUUCGGGUUCUGAUGGCCAGCGAUAUGCUACUAAUGAUGAGAGAAAACGAAAGAGAAUGGAGUCUAACCGUGAAUCUGCAAGGCGGUCACGGAAGAGGAAGCAGCAGCAUUUGGAGGAGUUGAUGAGCCAAUUGACACAGCUGCAGAAUCAGAGCACUAUCUGGCGUGAGAAGAUUGAAUCUGUUGGAAGAAACUUCCACACCCUUGAUGCGGAGAACAAUGUCUUGAGGGCUCAAAUGGCUGAACUGACUGAACGCUUAGAUUCUCUGAAUUCCCUCACUCGUUUUUGGGCUGAUGCUAAUGGACUUGCUGUCGACAUCCCUGAAAUUCCAGACACUUUGCUUGAGCCUUGGCAGCUCCCUUGCCCAAUUCAACCCAUUACUGCCUCUGCUGACAUGUUUCAGUUUUGAGCACAACCUGUGUGUAUGAUUGGACUACCAUGAUCCUAGCUCUCGGGUUCUUGCUUAACAGGUGCUCCUUGUAUCCUCUUCGAUUCAAUUACAUGCAACAGCUGCAGCGAAAGACAACCUUGUUACUAUUUCCCGAAGUUCUCCUUUAUGCAGUCACUGCAUUUUGUUUAUUUGCAAUGUGAGUUAGUAGCUUUUCUUGUGCUCUCUUUGUGUCAGUUUAUGACUAUAGAUUCUCUAUGUAAUAUUUAGCUUCAUGGAUUAGCAGUUUCUAGUACUUUGUCAAUGAUCUUCAGUCUCUAGUUUAUAAAUAAAAAUCUUAAGUCGUGUGAACGAUAUGACCCUUUUUUGUUUCUGCAAGAUUGCUCUGAUCAUUCAACUAGUUCUGAG
rnacentral:misc_RNA from 1 species